UACGGAGGAUGCGAGCGUUAUCCGGAUUUAUUGGGUUUAAAGGGUGCGUAGGCGGGCUUUUAAGUCAGCAGUAAAAAUUCGGGGCUCAACCCCGUCCGGCCGUUGAAACUGGGGGUCUUGAGUGGGCGAGAAGAAGGCGGAAUGCGUGGUGUAGCGGUGAAAUGCAUAGAUAUCACGCAGAACCCCGAUUGCGAAGGCAGCCUUCCGGCGCCCUACUGACGCUGAGGCACGAAAGUGCGGGGAUCGAACAGG
rnacentral:rRNA from 1 species